rnacentral:rRNA from 1 species
GACAGAGGAUGCAAGCGUUAUCCGGAAUGAUUGGGCGUAAGCGUCUGUAGGUGGCUUUCAAGUCCGCCGUCAAAUCCCAGGGCUCAACCCUGGACAGGCGGUGGAAACUACCAAGCUGGAGUACGGUAGGGCAGAGGGAAUUUCCGGUGGAGCGGUGAAAUGCAUUGAGAUCGGAAAGAACACCAACGGCGAAAGCACUCGUGCGGGCCGACACUGACACUGAGAGACGAAAGCUAGGGGAGCAAAUGGG